UUGGAGGGCAAGUCUGGUGCCAGCAGCCGCGGUAACUCCAGCUCCAAUAGCGUAUAUUAAAGUUGUUGCAGUUAAAAAGCUCGUAGUUGAAUUUCGGGGUCAGCAGGUUGGUCGUGCCAAUGGUAUGCACUGGCCUUGCUGAUUCCUCCCUCUUGAUGAGCCGUAAUGUCAUUAAUUUGGUGUUGCGGGGAAUCAGGACUGUUACUUUGAAAAAAUUAGAGUGUUUAAAGCAGGCAAGCGCUUGAAUACAUUAGCAUGGAAUAAUGAAAUAGGACGUUUGAUCCUAUUUUGUUGGUUUCUAGGAUUGACGUAAUGAUUAAUAGGGAUAGUUGGGGGCAUUAGUAUUCAAUUGUCAGAGGUGAAAUUCUUGGAUUUAUUGAAGACUAACUACUGCGAAAGCAUUUGCCAAGGAUGUUUUCAUUAAUCAAGAACGAAAGUUAGGGGAUCGAAGACAAUCAGAUACCGUCGUAGUCUUAACCAUAAACUAUGCCGACUAGGGAUCGGAUGAUGUUAAUUUUUUAAUGACUCAUUCGGCACCUUACGGGAAAC
rnacentral:rRNA from 1 species